UACGUAGGGUGCAAGCGUUGUCCGGAUUUAUUGGGCGUAAAGAGCUCGUAGGCGGUCUGUCGCGUCGGAUGUGAAAACCCAGGGCUCAACCCCGGGCCUGCAGCCGAUACGGGCAAGCUAGAAUUCGGUAGGGGAGACUGGAAUUCCUGGUGUAGCGGUGAAAUGCGCAGAUAUCAGGAGGAACACCGGUGGCGAAGGCGGGUCUCUGGGCCGAUAUUGACGCUGAGGAGCGAAAGCGUGGGGAGCAAACAGG
rnacentral:rRNA from 1 species